rnacentral:tRNA from 1 species
GCUCGUGUAGCUCAGUGGUUAGAGCUUCGUGCUUAUAGCAACAUUCGGUUUCCGAAGUUUCUGUGCCAAAGACCUUUCAAAAAGGCCUUUAAAAGCAACGCGACCGUCGUGGGUUCAAUCCCCACCUCGAGCA